CACGGGGGUUGGAGGGCAAGUCUGGUGCCAGCAGCCGCGGUAAUUCCAGCUCCAAUAGCGUAUAUUAAAGUUGUUGCAGUUAAAAAGCUCGUAGUUGAAUUUCGGGAUCAGUAGGUUGGUCAUGCCUAUGGUAUGUACUGGCUUUACUGGUUCCUCCUUCUUGAUGAUCUGUAAUGUCAUUAAUUUGGUGUUGCAGGGAGUCAGGACUGUUACUUUGAAAAAAUUAGAGUGUUUAAAGCAGGCAUACGCUUGAAUACAUUAGCAUGGAAUAAUGAAAUAGGACGUUCGAUCCUAUUUUGUUGGUUUCUAGGAUUGACGUAAUGAUUAAUAGGGAUAGUUGGGGGCAUUAGUAUUCAAUUGUCAGAGGUGAAAUUCUUGGAUUUAUUGAAGACUAAC
rnacentral:rRNA from 1 species